ACUGGCUUGUUACAAUCCUUCUGGU
rnacentral:piRNA from 1 species